GGAGAGCAUAAACCACUGUCACAUGAAUGACCUGAGACUAUCACUAACUGGUCAGUUCCCAAAACUGAUCUGGCUGUGAAUCAGCAGGUGUGAUGACUACUAACUUCUAAUACAUAAAAUCACAAAUUACCUACAAAGCUUGCCUUCAAAGUAUAAAUCCAUAGAGAUGACAGCAUUCCCGCCUGUUUAAUUGGACAGAAGCUGAAGGGCACCAUGAAGGCUUUCAGGAGGGAGAGCCUCAGGUAAAGUAUGUCUUUCCUUCCCAAGUCACCAC